GUACGCUGGCCCCAGCCCUACUCCUGGCUCUUCAGCCUUGGUUCCCUUUGGCAGAGGCUGUGGUCCUGCCUGCUCCUGUUUUCCCUCCCCACCUCACCUGGACCUGUGGAUUUUCCCUUGAUAAACCCAGCUGGAUGUGCUGUGUGAGGAGUCCUCUCGUUUUCUCUGGUGAGGCUUUGAUUACACCAUCUGGGCUUGGGCGUCUGUUGGGCUGGGGGAGUUGUCAAGGAGCCUGAAGUGGAGACGCUUUUGGUGCUGCAGACACCCCAACAGCACCUGCCUGGGGAAGCUGCUCUGGCCACCCACAGGUUUUGGUGGUCCCCACAGAAGACCUCUCACCUGCUUUACAACCACCAUGACAGAUAGACUGAGAUGGGAGAAGCCUCUCUCUCGAGGACUGAGACAUGAGACCCCUUUGUGGAAAAGCUUCCCCCUGCUCCCAAGGACUGGGACUGAAGCCCCCAGCCCAGGGGGAGCCGAGCUGACCAGAGUGAGAUGGAUGUUGCAGGUGUGACCAUUGGACCAAGAAGACAAUGGCUCUCGCCCACUGCUGAGAAGAGGGACUGUGUGUACCCUUCCUCAAAUGCCUUUUCCCUCAGAAAUUACAAUAGACCAUUCUGUUCUACUUUUGAUUUGAUUUCAAGAUUCAUCCCCUUCCCCCAUCAAAAAAGAGAAUAAUAGGAAUUCAAAUUGACUGGAAUCUCUGAGAUCUCCCUGGAUGUGACCUGGUGAACUCCAUGGGCUGGGUGUCGAAGGACUUGGCUGUUCUACGUUUGCCAGGACACGGCUUUGACCCAAUUGGCCAAGGAAACAAAACAAUCCUCAGCAGAAUCCAACUGACAAGUCACUUCAGGAAAAAUCCAGGGAGAGAAAAUGAUGUCUCUCUCUGUUCAGAGAAUGGGAAUGCCACAGGGUCACCUCAGACCUCCACUCUGCUGGUAAAUCUGGCCAAGGACUGGCAUCUGAAGCUGCAGGGAGACGUCUCUGCCGUGAGUUCCAACACAGCCUGGCCCUGAUUGGCCAAAGGGUGAAAACAACUCCCAGCAGAAUGCAAUGGAACAAUCACCUGUGGGUGAACAAUCUCCAAACACAUUCCCCAUGUGAGCACAACAAAGGAGAAGCAAAUGAGAUAAGAAUUGUUUUCCUUUUUCUCUGAGAUUUCUCAGCUUCCCAGGAGAAAAUCCUGGGUGAAGGGAUUUUUUCAGAGAAUGUGAAUGUUACAGUGAGCAAGUGGGAUGUAUAAAGGCUUUUAAAAAUGGAUUUGUUGGGUUUUUCCUCUCCCUUUAAUGGCACAGAGAUAAACUUUCUCACUUAGGGCAGCAGAGUGGAGCGUCACAGCCUCUCUGCUUGGUGUAUCUUUGCUACAUGGUGCUGAGAAUAGCUGAGGAGAUGGGAACAGAUCAUCAAACACAGAUUUGGGGACGGGGAGAGGUGGGUGGAGGAAGCUGCCUAGAUUGGGAAUAGUGUGAGCAGGAAGGGAAAGGAAGGAGCAGCAGUGAAGAGCUCUGAGAGACAGCAUGAGUGACAGAGGCAGAAAAUAGCUCUGAGCUGGGUGGCCCCAGCUGACUCCUCGGAAGUUACAGAGAGGAGCAAUUUGGGAUUCUCUGGGCUGAGUCACCUUGGUGGGGAUGUAGUAAAAGGCAGUGGAUGGAAAUAUUCCCCCUGGUUCUCUGCUAGCCACUGUUCACCAGGGCUGGUCUGGGGCUUGUGACUGCUGAACACAGACUCAGCAUCUGUGAUACCCUCACAGCACUGGAGUUUCCCCUGCACAUUCUGUGGCCAUCCCCUCUACAGUUUGGACAUGCAAGUCCAAAGGAGUUUGAUCUGUACUUCAUUUUUCUUCUAAAACAGGAAUCACUCUUUUUUCGGAAGUGACUUGGUUUGGAGGGGUUGGUAAGGAUGUAUUGUGUAACAGCACUGUCAUUUUUAAGGUGGAAAGGCCUUUCCAAAGUGACUGUCACAGCCCUUCCUGAAGCUGGAAGAGUUGGGGCUGUCCAGAACCGAUCUUGAAGGUGCAAAACUUAUUUCUGGGCUAAACAGAUGAAUGAGGAUACAAUUCAGCAUCAUAAAGUCACCCCAGGACAUGGGGUCAAAUUUUGGACAAGUUCCUCCAUGCCUAUUCCCUGGCCACCUGAGUGGAUUGGCUGUGAGUGUUGGGAGCACCAGAAGAAAAGGAGUUUGAAGGCACCUGAGCUGCCUCAGAUCCUGCUUUGGGCACAGUAUUUAGGUAAGCCCUGGAGUAACAUGCAUGGCCUUUCUACUCUGAGCGAUGCUGAGGGACUUUGUUCCUCUGGCUCGGGAACACCCAGCGAAUGUCAAGGAGAUAAUUUCUAUGGAGAAGCUUAUCCUGUUUGUCCAGGACAAGUCUUGGGACUAUAGAGUUACCAGGGGUCUGGAGAUUCCCCCUCGACCAGGAAGAGAGAAUGGCAUCUCUCCAGGGAAGGCAAAUGAACAGGUUUGGUGACCCUCUUCCACCAUGUGUCCAACUUUGGAAAGACCAGAUGACUGUACCAGUCAUGUCCCAUCAAAAGUUAUCGCUUCCUCUCAGGUUUCUGUGGUUGAGAUGACCCUGAGGUGUUAAAAAGUCUCUUUUUCCCAGCCCCACGACAGAAGAAGUCAAGAUUUGUCAGUUCUGCUCUCAAGGUUGUUUAUUUUCCCUUAUCUAUCACAUUCUUUCUCUGCCCUGCUGAGCUCUGUCCAGCAGGUCGGGUUGUGGCUCAGUCCCUGCCCUUGGGCUGCUGUUGGAUUUUUAUACUAAGAACUACCUGUGCUUUAUUUACAAUAAUUUCCCAAUCCCUGUCACCUGUGUCAGACAGUCUGUCUGUGCUCUAAACCAAUCCAGAAGUGCCACCAUCCCAGCAGAAGAUGGAGGACAAGAAGAAGAAGAAGGACAGGACACGCCCAGAUUCCUCCAUCUUGCCUCUUGAACCCCCAUUCUCAAUCCCCAAAACUCUACAUUUCCACCCUGUGACAAAUUCACUGUCAUUCUACUCAAACACUUGUGCCUUGUAACUCCUCACACAAAGUUGGUAAUUGUUUCCAUGGGCUGAAAUCCAAGGCACACAGGUGUUUUUGACUCUGUGCCAAGGUCUCUGAGUGCCCUUGCCAGGGUUUUGAAUCACCCAGGGCAGCCAGAGCAAUGUCCUGGGUUCUGACAACUUCCCUGUCACACAGCUCAUGAGCUGCGUCCUGCUCCCUGCCCAGGGCUGGUGCAUGCUGCCUCCUCCAGCUCCCAGCCCUUGGGAGAGAGCAAAAGGUCUGAUUUGUGAGGAGCAGCUACUCUUGGAAGAUGGGCAAUGGGGCCAUCGCUGCUUCCUUUUCCUAUUUAUUGUAUUCUUUUCCUUCUGUGGCUGUAGAAAGAAGGGGGGAAGUGAAGGAAUAAAAGAAAAGAUGAGGUGAAAAAUCUGGAAUAAUAAAUACAAAUUUCUCUGACGGGAAUAUAGAAAACAUUGUGGAAAAAAUUUAAAUAGUGGUUUAUUCAGAGUACAAAAAACAAAACGAGCAUCUUCAUAUA